rnacentral:rRNA from 1 species
AUGGCUAGUGGUUGGAAAGAUUUUUCGGUCUGGGAUGGGCUCACGGCCUAUCAGCUUGUUGGUGAGGUAAUGGCUCACCAAGGCGUCGACGGGUAGCCGGCCUGAGAGGGUGACCGGCCACACUGGGACUGAGACACGGCCCAGACUCCUACGGGAGGCAGCAGUGGGGAAUAUUGCACAAUGGGCGAAAGCCUGAUGCAGCAACGCCGCGUGAGGGAUGACGGCCUUCGGGUUGUAAACCUCUUUUAGCAGGGAAGAAGCGAAAGUGACGGUACCUGCAGAAAAAGCGCCGGCUAACUACGUGCCAGCAGCCGCGGUAAUACGUAGGGCGCAAGCGUUAUCCGGAAUUAUUGGGCGUAAAGAGCUCGUAGGCGGUUUGUCGCGUCUGCUGUGAAAUCCCGAGGCUCAACCUCGGACCUGCAGUGGGUACGGGCAGACUAGAGUGCGGUAGGGGAGAUUGGAAUUCCUGGUGUAGCGGUGGAAUGCGCAGAUAUCAGGAGGAACACCGAUGGCGAAGGCAGAUCUCUGGGCCGUAACUGACGCUGAGGAGCGAAAGGGUGGGGAGCAAACAGGCUUAGAUACCCUGGUAGUCCACCCCGUAAACGUUGGGAACUAGUUGUGGGGUCCUUUCCACGGAUUCCGUGACGCAGCUAACGCAUUAAGUUCCCCGCCUGGGGAGUACGGCCGCAAGGCUAAAACUCAAAGGAAUUGACGGGGACCCGCACAAGCGGCGGAGCAUGCGGAUUAAUUCGAUGCAACGCGAAGAACCUUACCAAGGCUUGACAUAUACGAGAACGGGCCAGAAAUGGUCAACUCUUUGGACACUCGUAAACAGGUGGUGCAUGGUUGUCGUCAGCUCGUGUCGUGAGAUGUUGGGUUAAGUCCCGCAACGAGCGCAACCCUCGUUCUAUGUUGCCAGCACGUUAUGGUGGGAACUCAUGGAAUACUGCCGGGGUCAACUCGGAGGAAGGUGGGGAUGACGUCAAAUCAUCAUGCCCCUUAUGUCUUGGGCUUCACGCAUGCUACAAUGGCCGGUACAAAGGGCUGCGAUACCGUAAGGUGGAGCGAAUCCCAAAAAGCCGGUCCCAGUUCGGAUUGAGGUCUGCAACUCGACCUCAUGAAGUGGAGUCGCU